rnacentral:rRNA from 1 species
UACGGAGGGUGCAAGCGUUAUCCGGAUUCACUGGGUUUAAAGGGUGCGUAGGUGGGCAGGUAAGUCAGUGGUGAAAUCUCUGGGCUUAACCCGGAAACUGCCGUUGAUACUAUCUGUCUUGAAUAUAGUGGAGGUGAGCGGAAUAUGUCAUGUAGCGGUGAAAUGCUUAGAUAUGACAUAGAACAUCGAUUGCGAAGGCAGCUCGCUACACCUAUAUUGACUCUGAGGCACGAAAGCGUGGGGAUCAAACAGG